AUUUUUUUAAAGCAUUAAGCCAUUUUUCCUUUGUUAGACAAAGUAAGAAUAUUAAAUUAAUAAUUUAGUAAAUUGACUAACUUAUAAGAAGUUUUGAUGAUAAAAUUGCUAUUUUAUUAAAUUAUAUUGUCCAACAUUACAAAUUGCAAGAAUAUGCAGAUUAAAUUUUGAAUAAGUCGGACCUCUGAUUUCUUUGAAACUGCAUUCUUACAUAUUGUGGCUCGCUGAUUACAAAUAUAAUAGUAAAAAUUGGCGCAAAUUUUAUUUUCAUGGUAAAAACUAUGAAAAUAAAAAAUCAUAAAAAUCGUGGUUUUUUUUAUUUAUUUCCGUAAAUAAUGGGAAUUUCGAAAAAUAUUUCACAUAAAAGUUUCAGAUCUCUUUAAAAUGCACAUUUUAUGUCCCAUUCCCAUUCCUUUAAAAUAGUCUUCAAUAAACCUUUGUCACUCGAACACCCCUUUGUCACAAGUAAAUUCGCGCCAAAAGUACAUGGUAGAAGACGGCGGUCACACAGAUCUCCCCCUAACUCCCCUGACUGUCCAAGUACGCCUCUAAAGCAAUCAAUAUAGUUGAAUCCACUCAGAGAAACGGAUUAAUGCGAAGGGUCCUUCUGAGAUGUGAAUCUGACGACCGCCCAGUAAGCCUAUUCUGUAACUCGUUAAGAGCCUAUGUACCAAAGAGUACUAUGUACCAAAAUAAUCGAAAAGAGAAAAGAGAGACGAAUGAAAUAGAGCAAAAGAAUGCGUUUCCACGAUACGGUCUGCUUUUCUCGGCGAAUGAAAAGCAAACAGAAAAGUCGCGUCUUACCUCGAUUCUAUGACGUUUUAUCGACCGAGUAUGCUCGUCUCUUCUUUCUCAUUUCAUACCGCCUUCCUUUUUAUCCUUCGUUCAUAAUUCUCAGGACACCUCGCACCAUUCUUUCCACAAAUGCAAUAAGCUCUACAGAGAGAGAAAAGAAGAGGAAAGCGGGGGGAAGCGAGAAGCCUUGGAGUGAACACCUCGGGAGAACUCUAUGUUCUUCCGGUGACGCUCAAUUAUUACUCGUGCACGGACCGGGUCAAUCUCAGGCUACUUUAAAUUACUUACUCGACGCGAUAUUCCGGAGAGAGCAGAAACUUCGUCGUGACUCUCCUUGGGGAAAUUUCGUACGACAGAUCGAAAACUAAUUCGUCGCGCGAGGAUCAAAACUAAAGCGGAAUGUUGCAGGCAAUGAACGAGACGCGGUAAGACGGUAAAACGCGAAAUGCGAAAGAUCGAGCCAUUCAUUCCCAGAGCAAAGUUUUAUAAAAUCGUACGUUAGAUGGUACUAUUAUCGUAAAAUGUUGUUUCAAGUACGAGGUAAACGAGAUGAAAGGCGAUCUUUCGUCAAUUUACGAUCCAGCACUGCGUCAUGCAUCGAUUGAAAUAGCAAACGAUGCGAUGAUUUGGCGCACAAAACAAGCGGAGGAAAUUGCCAGUUAGUUGAAGGUUCGAUUUUUCAGAGCCAAUACUAGUGGAUCCAGAGGACGUGAGGCAGCGAUAGUAACGAAAAGUGGCAGAAAAGAAGAGUCAGAAUAUAAAAAGAGCAAGAGAGAGGUGCGAUCUGCAUACACACACACAUACACAUAUAUAGAAUGCCUAGAAAGCUCAGCGUAGAAAAUGAGAUCUACAAGUGAGCGAACUGGACGAGCGCGGGUACACCGCCAAAAUGCAAUUUUCAUCCGGCUGCAGUCGCCUGCUUCUGUAACGCAGCGGCUGCAGCUGCUGUCGCACCGACCAAUUCUCUCCCUCUCUUGCCUCUUCCUCCUCCUCCUCCUCAUCUAUCCCGGGUUUUUUUCCUGCACCACAUCACCAUUCCCUCGAUAUGUUUACUGGACUGAUUGCAUUCGCGUAGACAAAUAAUCUGAUAUUACGAUGAAACAAUCCGAGCGCGAUGUUGCGAAAUGCACGUACCGAUCGCGUAUGGUAACGUGUACAGAGAACGACGACCCGAUUUAUCGGUAGACCGCAGACGAUUGCCUGAUGAUAAAUCGCACGACGCAUCGCAAAAGUACACACCGCGCAAAUUUAAAACGAGAACGUGUUUACUUUUCCAACAGACAAUUAUUUUUUGCGCCACUAUAAUCCUUGUUGAGCAUUUCUUGUGCUGAACGGGAAUAACGAAAUUCAUGAAUUACGCGUAAGGCAAAAAUAUGCGCAGACAAGAGCAUAGGAAGAGACAUGAAGAAGCAGAAGAGGAGAAGGAAGGCGAAGGCGAGGGAAGCAAAAUAAAAAAAAAACGAACGACUGGUUACCACUUCAUCUCGAGCGCAGUCGAGCUACAGCUAAUUAAUGCACUUUUGUCGGUUUGCUGUGACCCUGCUCGCACUAUGCAAGAGAAACGCAAUGGGGAGAAAAAGGGGGUUGAGAAGCAGAGAGAAAAGUCUGUAUGUGGUAAUAAGAUUGUAUUACGUCGACUACUCUUGUAUAAUAUUCUGGCAAUUCUGUCGUGUUAUACGCGCGAAGGAAUAUAUAUUAAGCAAAUAAAUAUAGGUGAUAACGGUAAAAAAGUCAAGAUAAAGACGAGAUAAUAAAACAGUACAAUAUAAAUGUGAUUAUUUCGAAAGAUUUCUGCGAUAAUAUUCCGUGGAAAUUGUAAAAGCCUAAGGUAGAAAACAAGCAUUUGGCGGGCUGGUUAAAAAAAUGCAAAUCAUGGAUUUGCAAUUAUAUUGUGCCGCCGAGUUUAUGCAUUAAUUUACUGUCGCCUAUAUAUCUAUCCCAAAGAUGAAAGAAUUAUUACAAAGUUACAGAAGGUACGAAGCUGAAAGUUGAUUAAAAUUCCUCAGUAAUACUGAAAUUUAUAAAUAAAUCUUCUUAAUUACUUUUUCUCCCCUUUCAUCGUGAUAUUCUCUAUAAAAGUUAUAAAACGUGCUAGACACAAGCGUAUGUGUAGCGUAUAACGACACGUUCUUUUACAAAACAACAUUCAUAUUCAUGAAUUCGUGUUUGAUCUCCACUCAUCCAUAAUUUUUAUCAAAAUUGAUACAUAAGCACAAAAUAGAAUAAACGAGAGAUUUUCUACAGAAUUUUGAUUGAUAAUUACAAACGCUUUUUUAAAACGAUUAUUCGCUGUAGAAAGUUUCGUUGUAAUAAUAAAAAAACUUGAAAUAAUUUCGUGACAAAAUUUCGAACAACUAUGCAGUAGGUACGUAUUGUUCAAAGAUAAGUUACUAAAAUUUAUUUGAGUAAUAUUAAUUAAUAUUUUUAUAAAACUAGAUUACUAUAUUUCACAUAUAGCUCAAGAAAAUUAUAAAUUUAUUUAAGAAUCAAAAUAUAUUAAAUAAUUUAAUUUUAAUAUUUUAAAAUUUUUUGAAAAAAUAAGACAAGUAUAAUAUACAAGUACUUAAAAGACACAUAACUUUUUUUAAAUAAGUUUCUCCAGGUCCAAAGCCUGAUAAAAAAACAAAAAAUAAUAUGCAACCUGGAGAAACAAACAAAGACCAAGAAUAGUUAGAAGAAAAACUUGAAAACGAACAAAAAAAAAACAAUUUUAGGAAAAAAAUACAAAAAAGCUCUUGGAAAAAAUCCAAAGAAGUACCUGUUUAUACCAGAUCAUAAAAAGUCGCAAGUCACUCCAGUUACUCGUAAGCAAUAGAAGUCUAAUUAAAACUUUGAGAACAAACGUAAUAGCAGUAAAAAUUAAAUCUUUUAAGAAAAGAAAUAAUGAAGAAAUUGAUGAAAUUCCUAAAGAUAUAAAAUUAAAAAAGCUUUAUCAAGAGUACUAUUUCGGGGUGCAAAUAGUACUCUUGAUAAAGCUUACCAUUUUGGAAGAUGCGGUGCUAACUUCACACAGGCGCCUUUUAAAAGAUUUUGUGCCAAAAGUGGUGCGGAAAAAAUGUGUGAAAUAUUCAACAUAAAUUUGUGUAUAAGUCUUCUUUAAGGUGGUAAUUUCGAAUCUGAAAUUCAAAUUGCGAUAUUCAAAAUGACGGAUUCAUAUCUUAGGUAGCAAACAAUAUACUUAAUAAAGUAAAGAAAGAAAUAAAAUUUAUUGAAAUUAUGAUUAAAACUGAGCAAAAAUAUUGAUAUCAAAAUUUAUAAAAAAUGUAAAAAUAAUAAAACAACAACAGCAACAAAAACAGUGGAUCAAAUUUUCUCCAAGUCCAAAGCCUGAUAGAAGGAUAAAAAACCUACUUAAAAAAAAAAAGGUGGACCAAAUUUUCUUCAGGUCCAAAGCCUGAUAAAAGAGCAAAAAACCUAUUAUUAAAAAAAAGGCGGACCAAAUUUUCCCCAAGUUCAAAGCCUGAUAAAAGAAGGACAAAAAACCUAUUAUUUAAAAAAAAGUGGACCAAAUUUUCUUCAAGUCCAAAACCUAAUAAAAGGAUAAAAAAACGUAUUAUAAAAAAAACAAAUAGACCAAAUUUUCUUCAGGUCCAAACAUGGAUAAAAGAAUUGUUAUUAUGACUUGGAGACAAAAACAUGUAAAAACCAAAAAAAAAUUUUAUAUCUAAAAAUAGAAAAUGAAAAGUAUAAAAAUAUUGUAAAUAAAUUGUCUUUAGACAAAAAAAAUCCCCCUCAAAAAUUAUUAAACAAAACAAACCAUUUACAAGUGUAUUGUCGCAGAGGAAUUCAAGAUCGCUCAACUAGAUGAUAAUAAAGUAAUUUACCUUGAAAUUUUAGAUAAAGUAAAACUAUACCACGAACAAUGGAAAAUUGUAAACGGCUAACAAAGGCGAUAAAGGAUGAAGUCCAGAUAAUUAUUAUGUAUUAUCCUACAAAAAAUCCGAAGAAAAAUUAGAAAUAACUCCAAAAAAAAAUAUUGGUACAAGUACAAAUUUUUUUAAUCGAAUAUUUGGAAUGGCGAUCCUUACUACUAUAAGAUGGAAGUCGCUGAUAAGAAGUAAAUAGACCCCAAAGGUACAAACUAAUAACAAUGUUCUCCAGAUCCAGAAAUGGAUAGAAAACUGUAGAACACUAGUAUACCAAUAAAAGACAAAAAUGGAUGAAAAUAAAGAAGAAAUUUUAAAUUUAAAAACUGAAAAUCAAAAGCUUACAAACAUAAUAAAUAACUUAAAUUUAGAAAAAAAAAUCCUCCCAAAAAAUUGAUCGAUAAAAUCCAUCACUUACAAAAGUGUAUUGCCAUGUUCGACCGUAUAUAUCGGCCGACGGAAAAAACCCACUGUGUAAUAUAAACUAUAUAAACGACCAGACUAUCAAAAUUAGUAAAUCAGAUGAAGUUAGCUCUAAAAUAAAAAUAGAACAUUUCAAUUUGAUAAAGUUUUUGGACCAGUGCAAGAACCAUAACCACUGUAUUAAAGUUUCACCUUUCGACAAUAGUAGGCAGUGAAGAGAUAUGAAGUGUUCCAUGAACGUUAAAAUAUUUUAUCAACUAAAUUAUUUCCCGACAUAUUAAAAAGAUAAUAAACCUACAAUUUUCAAUCCUAUUUGUAUCAUUAUUUAUAACUUUAUCUAUAAUAAAGGAUGAAGGAGGGAGUCUAAAUAAUUAUUACGUAUUAUCCUACAAAAAAUCCAAAGAAAAAUUAGAAACUCCGAAAAAAAAUUGCCGUAGACGUUGCACGUGGUUGAGAGGCACCGAGAAAAUUGUAUUUUUUAGAGGUAAAUUGGAGGAAGUGGUGGUGUGAAGAGUGGAGGAGAGUGAGCGAGGCGAGGAGGAGAGUGACAGGGAUAAAGAAAUAAAGGGCAUAGGGCCCCGUGAGAGAAGUAAUUUACCUUAAAACUUUAGAUAAAGUAAAAACUAUACCACGAACAAUGGAAAAUUGUAAUAGAAUAUGAUAUGUCAGAUUAAAAAAAAACUUUGCAAUACCUAAAAGAGCAUAUGCUAAUCUACGUAAUCAUUAUUGCCCUAGUAAAAAGAAAUGGAUAUGUUCCUCCCAAAAACGAAUGACUAAAUGACUAGACCACUGAACGAAAUAAAAAACGAAAUAGAGAACAUACAAAUAUUUAGCCGAAUCGUAAAAGUUAAAUGAACCAAGUACAGAUUAUUUAACUUUAUAGGCGAAGUCAGCAAGACACUAUUUGGAACUCUAGAUAACGCGACUUAUUAUAACAAACUAGAUAAAUUAUAUGCGGAUCAGAAAAAUAUUGUAUCAAUAAUUAUAAAAUAAUUGUAAGUCGUAAGGUGUAAACAUUGAUUAAUCACAUUUGAAUUUAAAGAAAAAUAAUCAAAUAUUUUUCUCUAAUUCAACUGUGAUUGGUCUCAAAUCAUACGACUUACAAUUAACAACUCGUUAUUAACCAGACCUGUAAGAGAAAGAAUAUUUCACUAAAAUACUAAAUUCUCUAAUAAAAUAUUGAAAUUUUCACUUUAUUAGAAUAAAAAAUUUUUUCUUCUCUUUCCGUGUCUACAAGACGUAAUCUGGUUUCGGCAAGCUGCUCCUUAACUCAAGCACGCAGCGGUGUACGGAGUGCCGCUGAAAAUUCGAUAGAACAAACUCGCUAUACAACUCUUCGGUAGUAAAGGAUGGAUCUUGGACAAGUUAUCGUACCCGUGGUAGGCAUGGCAGCCAUCAAAGUUUCGCAACGUGAAAUCGCCGUGGGAACGUCGAAACGACCCAAGCAGGAAGCGUGAAAUUCGCACGACAGAUUUUCUCCCGAGACAUACCGCUGUCGAGAGUAACGUAACUCUCGGAGAGAGAUCAGAAGCUGGUUAAAAGAUCGGUGGAAGACCUGUCUUCCGCUGCGGGAUAAAUAUUUAGAGGGAGACAGUGCGGGAAAAAUUUCUCUCUUGCUUUUCUUUCGAGCGCGAUGAAACCUGUGCCGCGAUAAAUCGGUUCCUUCCUACCGGAGAACUAAACAGCGGUUUUGCCUUGUAUAACAUCCGAGGAAUGAAUCGCUGGGGAAUUUUGAUAUACCACAUUCGAGUAUUAUUACGAGAAUUAACGGAUACUGCGGGAAUAUUCUCCCCCGCUAGUGCCGAGCUAUUAUUAGCGCCCGCUACUCUCUAAAAUUUUUGAAAUGCAAUUUUCAAUCUACUUAUGGAGUCACUGACAUCACAUCUGCUGCAUUUCGAUGAACAGAAUCUGUUGCCAACAUUUGCCUUUUCAGAAAUAGUUAUUGGGAUUAUAAUUAUAAUCAACUUAUGCCUCCGGCGAUAAAUUAAAAAUAGCAAGCCUAGCUAUGGAAAUCACCUCUGGCAUUUUUCUUAUAAAUACCCAGCUUACGAUUUAAGUCUCUGGCAACAAAUUAAAAACUAGAUCAUGACAAUCGGUUCUAGACUUUUUCUUGUAUAUAGCCAGCUCAUGGUAAACGCCUCUGACAUUUUUUAAAACUAACCAGCUCACGACUUAUGCCUUUAUUAUUUUAUUAUAAAUAUAAAGUUUUACAGUUUUUUUACUGAUUUUCCACACAGCACACUGCCAGAUAUUCUUCAGAAAGUUUUUUGAAAGAUAUGGUAUAUAAAGCUAUAGCUCAGCUCACGUCAACGCGAGAAAAAAAAUUAAUAACGUUAAUAAAUCAAAAGUAGUAAUGUUAAUAAUACUUUAAAAGUUUUUUUAUACUUUAAAAAUUAAAUAACAAGUAUUUGUAUUACAUAUUUUAAUAACACUCAAGAUCAUUUCAAUGUUGGUUGUCAUAUUAAAUAUAUUAUAACAAUUUCGAAAACUUUUAAUAAUAUUUUAGACAUUACAUACAAAAUAUUUUUUAAAUAUUUUACUAAAAAAGCCGGAAAUGAUUCUAAUGAAAUCUUUCACAAAUAUUUCCGGAUGAUUACAACGUUAUAUUUCAAUAAUAAUUUCCAAGAUAUUUUUUAAGAAACUUUCUGAAAGAUGUGCGGAAACUACCCAGUGACCUUAAAGAAUUAAAAUUACACAUUAAUAAGUUAAAAAAUAUUUUAAUUAUAUAAAAACAUUUGUUUAUUCUUGUCUCUUUUAAUUUUAGCAAAUUAUGGAGUUAAUCGACCGAUCCAACAAAAGAACACAAGAAAUAAAGAAAAUAAUUAACAACGUCACGGAAGAUAUAAAUACCCUAAAAAAUAAAAUCGGAGAAAUCCAGAUUACGAAUAAAGCGUAAGAAUUACAUUAAAUAUUUAUUUAUCUAAAAAGUAACGUCGAGUCUUAAAUAAAAAGUAUUAUUAGAGAAGAAAGUGGUAAUAUGAUUCAUUUACAUUUUAUGCAAUAACUUUGUUAAUAAUUAAUAUUUUAAAUUAAAACCUAACGGUUAUAUUCAUUAAAGUGUUUAUCAGAUUUAUUAGAUUUUGUUGUUUUUUAGAUUUUAGAUUAAAAGUUACAUACGUUUAUGUAAUAUUACAUUUGAAUUUAAAAAGAAUGAGGAAGUAUGUGUAAUUAAAUGAUAACAUGUACUACUUUAAAUAGUUUCGAAAUGCUCGAAACUAAAAAUGCUUUGUAAUAAUCGUUAGUUUUUGUGACAAUGACAAAUAAAAAAUUAAGAGCCAUUAGUUUUAUAAAAAUAUAAAUAAAUAUAUACAUAUGUAUAUAUCUUUGAUUUAUAUAUGUUUGAUUUAUGUGCUGGUAUUCGACAAUAUUAGCGAUUCCAGACUACCUAUACCUAAUCAAUUAUCCAGUUUUCCCUCGUUUAAUUACGGUCGUCCGGACCAAAAUUGCGGUCUCGUCGACCAAGCUAUGGCAAAUUUACAGAUCGCCCUUUCUCCCACAGGUAUGGCAAGAAUAGGUCGACAAACUUUAGCCGGAACUAACAUGAUAGCGCGCCCAUAAUUUUCAUUAAGUGCGUAAUGGGUAUUUGUUAUUGCAAUCGCAAUAAUGUGCCAUGCUUAUGGAUGUGGACUCACCGAUAAGAUACUUUAUUCAGUAUCGUUAGCGUGGUGUAUAUUUAAAUUGAGAGAAUUAUAUUUAUUUAUAUUUAUUCAUAUAUUAAAAAAUGAAAAAAUACAUUAAUUUCUAUGGCACGCAAUUAUUUCAAUUGAAAUGAAUUAUAAAUCAUUUAAAUACGUUGUGCAUUAAAAAUAGAAAUUCAAAAUCAACUAGAUGAUAAUUAAGUAACUUUGAAACUUUAAAGAAAGUAAAACUAUACCACGAACAAUGGAACAUUAUAGUAGGAUAUAAUUUGUCAAAUUAAAAAAAAAAUUUUGCAAUAUCUAAAAAAGCAUAUGCUGAUCUACUUAAUCAUUAUUGCCCUAGUGAAGGGAAAUGAGUAUAUCCCUCCCAAAAACAAAUGACUAAACGACUAGACCACUGAACGAAAUAAAAAACGAAAUAGAGAACAUACAAUAUUUAGCCGAAUCGCAAAAGUUAAGUAGAACCAAGUGCAGAUUAUUUAACUUUAUAGGCGAAGUCAGCAAGACACUAUUUGGAACUCUAGAUAACGCGACUUAUUAUAAUGAACUAGAUAAAUUAUAUGCGGAUCAGAUAAAUAUUGUAUCAUAAUAAUUGUAAAAUAAUUGUUAAGUCGUAAGUUGUAAAAAGUGAUUAAUUACAUUUGAAUUUAGAGAAAAAUAAUUAAAUAUUCUCUAAAUUUAACUGUGAUUAGUCUCAACUCAUACAAGUUACAAUUAACAACUCAUUACAAACCGAACCUGUGAGAAAAAAAAUAUUUCACUAAAAUACUAGAUUCUCUAAUAAAAUAUUAAAAUUUUCACUUUAUCAGAGUGAAAAAUUUUUGCUUCUUUUUCUAUGAUGAAAAUCACUCAUCAAAACAAGAAAGACCUAAGAUAAAAUUAAAAAUAAAAA